rnacentral:rRNA from 1 species
AUGGCCGCGCCCCCUGCUGCUGAGGCCCUGCGUCCGGAGACGUCGACCUCCGGCGCCCCAAGUCCCGCGCGACGCGCCCAGUCUCCAGGGCCGCGCCUCCUCACCGCCCGGACCCGUCGUCCUCAACCCCGCCUCUCCUGCUCGUCGACCGCGCCACCGGAGCCCUGCAUCGCGCCAAGCGUCGCCGGCGCCCCCAAGUCCACGUCGCCGACCUCCUGUCGUGGCCUCCUCCUCGCUUCAAGUCCACACCGUCAAGCUACAGCACCAGGACCCUCCAUGCUCUUGCCCAUUCCACCCCGUACCUGCUUACCAGUAGAUGCUCCGCCGCCGUCUAGGAUCCAUAGAAACACCUUGCGGCUCCCUGCCUCACCCCACCUUCGCUGGCGUCUUCAACCACCUGAGGCCCUCUUCCGUGCCAUCGCUGGUCCCUGUUGUCGUUGUCAAGACCCUCCAAAUCAGGGAGUACCAUGGCCGCCACCGAGACACUUGGAUUCACCAAGUCCGGCAAGUACCACGACUUACGGAACACGAACUACCACCGCUCCGAACACCAAGUACUACUACAAACCCGAAGAAUUCGGAUGGAUCAAGUCCCUGAGGAGACCCGUUUUUCGUCAAGUUCGACUACCCGUAUCAUCAAGUACCACUACGGCCGGAGACCUCGGACACGCCAAGUACACCUUCGAGCUAUCAAUACCGCAAACGCCAAGUUCCACGACGACCCAAGUACCGCAAGAACGUUUGUACCUCUACUGUCGUCGUGGAUCCGACAAGUACCCGUACAACAAGUGUACCUCUACCGUUGUCUUCGGAAUCGCUAAGAACGUCAAGCACCCCUUCGAGAUGACGAGACCGACAAGUUCAAAUGACCCCAAGUACCUCUCCGAAAACGAGACGUAUACCGCUACCGUCGCAAGAAUCGAGACCGACAAGUCCGAAGAUGCUAGUACCACUACUACCCACUGCGCCCGUGUAUGA